UACGUAGGGUGCAAGCGUUGUCCGGAAUUAUUGGGCGUAAAGAGCUCGUAGGCGGUCUGUCGCGUCGGCUGUGAAAACUUGGGGCUCAACCCCAAGCCUGCAGUCGAUACGGGCAGACUAGAGUGCGGUAGGGGAGACUGGAAUUCCUGGUGUAGCGGUGAAAUGCGCAGAUAUCAGGAGGAACACCGGUGGCGAAGGCGGGUCUCUGGGGCCGA
rnacentral:rRNA from 1 species